rnacentral:rRNA from 1 species
CUCCUGGAAAACGGGUGGUAAUACCGGAUGCUCCGCUCCAUCGCAUGGUGGGGUGGGAAAUGCUUUUGCGGCAUGGGAUGGGGUCGCGUCCUAUCAGCUUGUUGGCGGGGUGAUGGCCCACCAAGGCGUUGACGGGUAGCCGGCCUGAGAGGGUGACCGGCCACAUUGGGACUGAGAUACGGCCCAGACUCCUACGGGAGGCAGCAGUGGGGAAUAUUGCACAAUGGGCGCAAGCCUGAUGCAGCGACGCCGCGUGCGGGAUGGAGGCCUUCGGGUUGUAAACCGCUUUUGUUCAAGGGCAAGGCACGGUUUCGGCCGUGUUGAGUGGAUUGUUCGAAUAAGCACCGGCUAACUACGUGCCAGCAGCCGCGGUAAUACGUAGGGUGCGAGCGUUAUCCGGAUUUAUUGGGCGUAAAGGGCUCGUAGGCGGUUCGUCGCGUCCGGUGUGAAAGUCCAUCGCCUAACGGUGGAUCUGCGCCGGGUACGGGCGGGCUGGAGUGCGGUAGGGGAGACUGGAAUUCCCGGUGUAACGGUGGAAUGUGUAGAUAUCGGAAAAGAACACCA